rnacentral:rRNA from 1 species
GGAGUUUGGGCCGUGUCUCAGUCCCAAUGUGGCCGUACACCCUCUCAGGCCGGCUACUGAUCGUUGCCUUGGUGGGCCGUUACCUCGCCAACUAGCUAAUCAGACGCGGGUCCAUCUCACACCACCGGAUUGCUCCUUUGACCCCUGCACCAUGCGAUGCUGUGGUCUUAUGCGGUAUUAGGACACCUUUCGGUAUUUUAUCCCCCUGUCAGGGAAAGGUUGCUCACGCGUUACUCACCCGUCCGCCGCUGAAACAUACAUCCGUCCGGCCGAAGCUUUCAGGUCGCAUGUCUCCGCUCGACUUGCAUGUGUUAGGCACGCCGCCAGCGUUCGUCCUGAGCCAUGAUCAAACACU